rnacentral:tRNA from 1 species
GGAUCGUUAGCUCAGUCGGUUUGAGCAGAUGCCUCAUAAGCAUAAGGUCGCCAGUUCGAGCCUGGCACGAUCCA